rnacentral:rRNA from 1 species
CCCCGCUGGAAACUUAAGCAUAUCAAUAAGCGGAGGAAAAGAAAACCAACAGGGAUUGCCCUAGUAACGGCGAGUGAAGCGGCAACAGCUCAAAUUUGAAAUCUGGCUCUUUUAGGGUCCGAGUUGUAAUUUGCAGAGGGCGCUUUGGCGUUGGCAGCGGUCCAAGUUCUUUGGAACAGGACGUCACAGAGGGUGAGAAUCCCGUACGUGGUCGCUAUCCUUCGCCGUGUAAAGCCCCUUCGACGAGUCGAGUUGUUUGGGAAUGCAGCUCUAAAUGGGAGGUAAAUUUCUUCUAAAGCUAAAUACUGGCCAGAGACCGAUAGCGCACAAGUAGAGUGAUCGAAAGAUGAAAAGCACUUUGGAAAGAGAGUCAAAUAGCACGUGAAAUUGUUGAAAGGGAAGCGCUUGCAGCCAGACUUGCCUGUAGUUGCUUAUCUAGACUUUUGUCUAGUGCACUCUUCUGCGGGCAGGCCAGCAUCAGUUUGGGCGGUUAGAUAAAGGUCUCUGUCAUGUACCUCUCUUCGGGGAGGCCUUAUAGGGGAGACGACAUGUAACCAGCCUGGACUGAGGUCCGCGCAUCUGCUAGGAUGCUGGCGUAAUGGCUGUAAGCGGCCCGUCUUGAAACACGGACCAAGGAGUCUAACAUCUAUGCGAGUGUUUGGGUGUCAAGCCCAGACGCGUAAUGAAAGUGAACGGAGGUAGGAACCCUUUGGGUGCACUAUCGACCGAUCCUGAUGUCUUCGGAAGGAUUUGAGUAAGAGCAUGGCUGUUGGGACCCGAAAGAUGGUGAACUAUGCUUGAAUAGGGUGAAGCCAGAGGAAACUCUGGUGGAGGCUCGCAGCGGUUCUGACGUGCAAAUCGAUCGUCAAAUUUGGGCAUAGGGCGAAAGACUAAUCGA